AUUGAACGCUGGCGGCAGGCCUAACACAUGCAAGUCGAGCGGAUGAAGGGAGCUUGCUCCUGGAUUCAGCGGCGGACGGGUGAGUAAUGCCUAGGAAUCUGCCUGGUAGUGGGGGAUAACGUCCGGAAACGGGCGCUAAUACCGCAUACGUCCUGAGGGAGAAAGUGGGGGAUCUUCGGACCUCACGCUAUCAGAUGAGCCUAGGUCGGAUUAGCUAGUUGGUGGGGUAAAGGCCUACCAAGGCGACGAUCCGUAACUGGUCUGAGAGGAUGAUCAGUCAAACUGGAACUGAGACCCGGUCCAGACUCCUACGGGAGGCAGCCGUGGGGAAUAUUGGACAAUGGGCGAAAGCCUGAUCCAGCCAUGCCGCGUGUGUGAAGAAGGUCUUCGGAUUGUAAAGCACUUUAAGUUGGGAGGAAGGGCAGUAAGUUAAUACCUUGCUGUUUUGACGUUACCAACAGAAUAAGCACCGGCUAACUUCGUG
rnacentral:rRNA from 1 species